rnacentral:misc_RNA from 1 species
GAAGUGAAGAAGUACGAGUGGAUGGUGCUUUUCUUUUUUGUUGUGAUGUAGAUCUAGGAAUAGGUGUAGAUGCUGCAUUUUUCCCUUUACUUAAUCUAGUGUUGUAGGCAUCCCCUUCAGCUCCAGUAGCUUCAGCAACCACAUUUUAUGUCAAAUCAUCAUCUUCAAAAAUAAGUUCAUCUCUAUCCAUAUUUUCCUCCAUUUGACCCAUCAACCA